UGAUGAAUCAGGUGUUGCAGCGCUCC
rnacentral:piRNA from 2 species